UAAUUGAAGAGUUUGAUCAUGGCUCAGAUUGAACGCUGGCGGCAGGCCUAACACAUGCAAGUCGAACGGUAACAGGGAGCAGCUUGCUGCUCUGCUGACGAGUGGCGGACGGGUGAGUAAUGUCUGGGAAACUGCCUGAUGGAGGGGGAUAACUACUGGAAACGGUAGCUAAUACCGCAUAACGUCUACGGACCAAAGUGGGGGACCUUCGGGCCUCAUGCCAUCAGAUGUGCCCAGAUGGGAUUAGCUAGUAGGUGGGGUAACGGCUCACCUAGGCGACGAUCCCUAGCUGGUCUGAGAGGAUGACCAGCCACACUGGAACUGAGACACGGUCCAGACUCCUACGGGAGGCAGCAGUGGGGAAUAUUGCACAAUGGGCGCAAGCCUGAUGCAGCCAUGCCGCGUGUAUGAAGAAGGCCUUCGGGUUGUAAAGUACUUUCAGCGGGGAGGAAGGUGUUGUGGUUAA
rnacentral:rRNA from 1 species